rnacentral:pre_miRNA from 7 species
CUCCCAAAUGCUGGGAUUAAAGGCAUAUGCAACUGUAAGACCCCCCUUUCGGGGACCCCCACUCUAGUCUCGGGAGUGUGAGAGCACCCAAAGAAACACGAGGACCC